CUGUGACAUUAUUAAAAAAAAAAACGUCAAAAAUUUUCAUCGAAAAAACGUGUUUUUUUAUCUAAUUAAAAUCAAUAAUUUCUCAAUCAAUAUUAAUAAGAACUACAUGUGCAUGGAUUGCCAGUUGGAUUGAUGUUUGUUUUAAGAAGAAAUUUCUCUCAACUAAGAUAUCCACUCGAGAAAGGUUAUUGCAAUUUGCAGCUUGCAGCAACAUCAUGUUUUAUCAAGUAUUGAACCACACAAAGGAUUAAAUCUUCAUUACAAUAUCAUUCAUAACUCCAUUUAAAUCAAUGGAAACUAAAUAUGGAUCGUUUCAUGGAGUAACAACAUACUUUGUAGUUUGGACCCAAAAUACAAUACACGUUAAUAUCGAACUUAUAAGGUGUUAAGCUGCAAUUACAAUAAAAGUGCUUGCUAUGGAAUCACCGGUGCUGAUCAUUGUUGUCAACUGUUACUUAAAAUCCAGAUGAACCAACCUUUACUUCCUAUUCAAAUAAGUUUAGAAGAAACCUAUAUAAGCAAUAAAACCAGACCAAGAAUGCUUGAUUACAAACAAUGAACUCAUUUCAUUUGCAAGUUAUGCCAUGACAUAAAUGCAUUAAAUUAGGAAGAUUUGUAUUAAUACUUCUGUUGAUAAGAACAUUUGGUGGUGAGAAACGUGUAGAUCUGGCCUGCUUACAGUGGCAAUUGGAUUGGACAGAACCAAAGUGAGAGUGAACGUGUGAAUUUAUGGAGAACAUUAAAAACUAUUUUACUAUAAGUCAUAACGCAACUUAUUUUGUAUGAGUUACAUACAAAUGUCAAGCCGUGAGUACAUUAUGUAAAAACUAAAACAAUGUUCCUACUGUAAUCACAACAGUAACUGUAAUCUUUUAAAAUCCAAUAGUUUUAAUGCUUAUUGAUUUUCGUAAACAAAAUAUUUCAUGUUAUAUUUCAUCAAUAAAGUUUCAUUUGAUACUUCAAUAGUUUUAUUUUUAACCGCAAUACAUGAAAAGGAACGGAUCAUAAAAAAGUAUGACAGGUAUAUUUAAUCUGUGGGCGGCAGACGCCAUAUUGUAUUCAGCGCCACCUACUGGACAAUCUAGCUCGGUACCAGUUUGUUUAUCGUUUAACCAAUACUAGGGCCGUUUCCUAUCUGUCUU